rnacentral:rRNA from 1 species
UGUCUUUUUGAAGAUAAUUUAAAGUCUAAUCUGCCCACUGAUUUAAUAUUAAAGGGCUGCAGUAUUUUGACUGUACAAAGGUAGCAUAAUCAUUAGUCAUUUAAUUGAUGACUUGUAUGAAAGAUUGGAUGAAAUAUAAUCUGUCUCUUAAUUAAUAAGUAGAAUUUAAUUUUUUGAUUAAAAAGUUAAAAUGGUUUAAAAAGACGAGAAGACCCUAUAGAGUUUUAUAGAUAAAUUAAUUAAUAUUAUUUAUAAAAAUUAAAUUAAAAUUUUUUUUAUUUAUUAUAUUGGGGUGAUAGAAAAAUAUAUCUAACUUUUUUUUAUUUAAAACAUUUAUAAGUGAUUAAAUGAUCCAAUAGUAUUGAUUAUAAGAAAAAAUUACCUUAGGGAUAACAGCGUAAUUUUUUUUUUUAGUUCAUAUAAGAAAAAGAGUUUGCGACCUCGAUGUUGGAUUAAGAUAAAAUUUAAAUGUAGAAG